UCCGAUUGAAUCUGCUUUUUCCUGGAUGCUCUAUAGGAAUCCAUCGCUAUUCCUUUCCUCCACCGAUAAAGGUUCAUCCCGCAGGGCUUGGCUUGACCCUGUAUUCUCCCGGGUCGGAGGCGAGCAAAAGAAUCAUUCUUUAUGAAUCAAGUACCAUUCAAACAAAGGGUGCAUUGCCUCUUUGAGUGAAGAAGAGAGGGG
rnacentral:lncRNA from 1 species